GUAGGUGGCAAGCGUUGUCCGGAAUUAUUGGGCGUAAAGCGCGCGCAGGUGGUUCUUUAAGUCUGAUGUGAAAGCCCCCGGCUCAACCGGGGAGGGUCAUUGGAAACUGGGGAACUUGAGUGCAGGAGAGGAAAGUGGAAUUCCACGUGUAGCGGUGAAAUGCGUAGAUAUGUGGAGGAACACCAGUGGCGAAGGCGACUUUCUGGCCUGUAACUGACACUGAGGCGCGAAAGCGUGGGGAGCAAACAGGGAUUAGAUACCCUGGUAGUCCACGCCGUAAACGAUGAGUGCUAAGUGUUGGGGGGGUUUCCCGCCCCUCAGUGCUGCAGCUAACGCAUUAAGCACCCCCGCCUGGGGAGUACGGUCGCAAGACUG
rnacentral:rRNA from 1 species